rnacentral:rRNA from 1 species
UGAUCCAGCCAUGCCGCGUGAGUGAAGAAGGCCUUCGGGUUGUAAAGCUCUUUCGGCUGGGAAGAAAUCGCAUCUUCUAAUACGGGGUGUGGAUGACGGUACCAGAAUAAGAAGCACCGGCUAACUACGUGCCAGCAGCCGCGGUAAUACGUAGGGUGCGAGCGUUAAUCGGAAUUACUGGGCGUAAAGCGUGCGCAGGCGGUUUCGUAAGACAGAGGUGAAAUCCCCGGGCUCAACCUGGGAACUGCCUUUGUGACUGCUAGGCUAGAGUAUGGCAGAGGGGGGUGGAAUUCCACGUGUAGCAGUGAAAUGCGUAGAGAUGUGGAGGAACACCGAUGGCGAAGGCAGCCCCCUGGGCCAAUACUGACGCUCAUGCACGAAAGCGUGGGGAGCAAACAGGAUUAGAUACCCUGGUAGUCCACGCCCUAAACGAUGUCAACUAGGUGUUGGGAGGGUAUAACCUUUUAGUACCGUAGCUAACGCGUGAAGUUGACCGCCUGGGG